CCACAACUUACUUUAUGUUUGCAGAGACAGCACAGUGCCAUGUUUUCUGUAUCUGAUAAGAAUUUCCACACGGCAGAAUACCGGACAGUGCUCUCUGCUGACACCUGAUGCCUCGGCUGUCCGGGCAUGCUGGGAGUUGUAGUUUUGCAACAGCUGGAGGCACCCUGGUUGGGAAACACUGGUCAAGAGGCUGGAGAAUAGGGAGAUCGUUCCAGAAGAAUGAGGAAGAUGCCAGCCCCAUAAUCCACCAGAGGAUGUAAGGUAGAAACAUACUUGUCCUCCAUCCUACAGGCUGAAUAAGGAAACUUUAAGCCAUUUGCUAUGGGAAUGUAUUCAUGGUCCUGGGCUGUGUGUGAUGAGAGCCUGGAGGAGGACAGUAAGGAUGUGCAGAGACUGGAGGCUGGAGAUGUGACUGUAUACUGACUGCAAGAAUGAAGCUACUAUAAGAGGAGGAGUAGACCAGAAGAAUGAGGAGCUGCCCCCACCAUGACUACUGGCGGAGCUAAAGCGCCCAAUUACACCACAUCCAGUGUGGUACUACGACUCCUAUCCAUACAAAGCAGUCUUGGCAGGCUUAAAGGGGUUCUCCAGCAUAAGAUACAUCAGAAUUGUCAGAUUCUGCUGUGGACAGUGUGGGACCUUCUCGUCCACGUAAUCCGUCCUCCAAAAGGAAAUCAAAAAACGCAGCCGGAGGGCUGAUAGAAAACACCGGCCCAAG